ensembl:lncRNA novel transcript
AUUAACUUUGUGGUUGAAGGGAGCAGCGUCAGAAACUGCUUUAGCACAGUGGGAGGAAAACAAACAGAUUCAUCUCCAGAAACCAAAGGAAAGGAUUCUCACUCUGUUGUCCAGGCUGGAAUGCAGUGGCACGAUCUCAGCUCACUGCAACCUCUACCUCUUGGGCUCAAGUGAUCCUCCCACCUCAGCCUCCCAAGUAGGUGUUUUCCUGGUUUUUCAGAGCUGAGAAGUGAGCUGUCUUCCAACUCACCUGCAUAGGUGGAAGUCUUCCCAGAUGCUGUGCUUGAAUCUCUAAUUUGAUAUAUUUACAAGACUUGCAGAGGCUGUGAGCUGUGUGAAUACAUUGCACAUAAGAACUACAGAUGUUUUAAAGCCUUCUGUGAAAGUGAUUCUGAAGGUGUGGUCCCUGGGCCAGCAGCAUCAACAUCACCUGGAACUUGUGAGAAAUGAAGAUUCUCAGGCUCUUCUCUAUACCUACUGAAUCAGACAUUGGGUGCAAAGGGGAACACUACAGUCUGUCUUUAAGGAGCCCUCAAGAUCGCAUCAUCUUCAGAGGCAG